rnacentral:rRNA from 1 species
UAGUCCACGCUGUAAACGAUGAGUGCAAGGUGUUGGGGGUCAAACCCCGGUGCCGCCGUUAACACAGUAAGCACUCCGCCUGGGGAGUACGUACGCAAGUAUGAAACUCAAAGGAAUUGGCGGGGACCCGCACAAGUAGCGGAGCAUGUGGUUUAAUUCGAUGCAACGCGAAAAACCUUACCAGGGCUUGACAUAAAAGUGACGAGGGAUAGAGAAAUACCUUUUCUCUUCGGAGACAGUUUUAC